UACGUAGGGGGCAAGCGUUAUCCGGAAUUACUGGGUGUAAAGGGAGCGUAGACGGUAAAGCAAGUCUGGAGUGAAAGGCCGGGGCUCAACCCCGGGACUGCUUUUGAAACUGUUGGUCUUGAGUAUCGGAGAGGCAGGCGGAAUUCCUAGUGUAGCGGUGAAAUGCGUAGAUAUUAGGAGGAACACCAGUGGCGAAGGCGGCCUACCGGCUCCGGUCUGACGCUGAGGCACGAAAGCGUGGGUAUCGA
rnacentral:rRNA from 1 species